UACGGAGGGUGCAAGCGUUGUCCGGAUUCAUUGGGUUUAAAGGGUGCGCAGGCGGGUCAUUAAGUCAGGGGUGAAAGACGGUUGCUCAACAAUCGCAGUGCCUUUGAUACUGGUGUUCUUGGGUGACCUUGAGGUAGGCGGAAUGGGUGGUGUAGCGGUGAAAUGCAUAGAUACCACCCAGAACUCCGAUUGCGAAGGCAGCCUACUGGAGGUUCACCGACGCUCAGGCACGAAAGCGUGGGGAUCAAACAGG
rnacentral:rRNA from 1 species